rnacentral:rRNA from 1 species
UACGUAGGGGGCAAGCGUUGUCCGGAAUCAUUGGGCGUAAAGAGCGUGUAGGCGGCCUGAUAAGUCGGCUGUGAAAGUCAAGGGCUCAACCCUUGAAUGCCGGUCGAUACUGUCAGGCUAGAGUCCGGAAGAGGAGAGUGGAAUUCCUGGUGUAGCGGUGAAAUGCGCAGAUAUCAGGAAGAACACCCGUGGCGAAGGCGGCUCGCUGGGACGGGACUGACGCUGAGACGCGAAAGCGUGGGGAGCGAACAGG